UACGUAGGGGGCGAGCGUUGUCCGGAAUCAUUGGGCGUAAAGCGCGUGUAGGCGGUUCGGUAAGUCCGCUGUGAAAGUCGGGGGCUCAACCCUCGGAUGCCGGUGGAUACUGUCGGGCUUGAGUACGGAAGAGGCGAGUGGAAUUCCUGGUGUAGCGGUGAAAUGCGCAGAUAUCAGGAGGAACACCAAUGGCGAAGGCAGCUCGCUGGGACGGUACUGACGCUGAGACGCGAAAGCGUGGGGAGCAAACAGG
rnacentral:rRNA from 1 species